GUUUCUGUAGUGUAGUGGUUAGCAUGUUUGCCUCAUGCACUAAAAGGUCCCUGGUUCGAAUCCAGGCAGGAACA